UUACAAUUUCGAAAUUGAAGAAACAAUAUUAAAGCGAAUCAUUCUCGAUUGACAGUGUAACUGCGGGAAGAUGCGUGAGAUUAGAGCUCAGAGUAGAUAACGGUGCAUUCAUCAUUCUACACCGUCGAAUAUAAUAGAUAUAGAUAUUCAUACAGCACUCAUUAUAAUUUUAUGUUAAAUUACACCUAAGAACCGAAAUUUGUGUUUUUAAUAUUCACAGUGUAGAACUAAUGAUUUUAACUGAAAAGAAAAAUUCAAACGUUGUAAGGAUUGCAGCUAUUAGCUACUUUCCUCGACCCAUUUAGCCGCCCACUAAUAACAAUUAUUUUUGGGACAAUUUAGACAAAAUCACGCUUCGGGAUGACUGCAACGGUUUUAUGAUUUUUUAAUUAAAGAUAUUUAAGUAUAUGAUACGGAGAAUAUUUUAAGGUUCAGGUACCCCCAUCGGAUGUGUAGUUUCUGAGAAUGAGUUCUUGAAAUAAAGAACCCCUUUGUAACUCGAUCACUCCCUCCUGUUUAUUGGAUUAAAUUAUGGAUCUCAAGGAUUGUUGUCAACCAAGAGUCAAAGUGACGCUGAGGGAAAAAUAAGAUAGAAGAAGAAGCCAUUACCAUUAUGUGUGAUGUAAGUUAUUCGGAGGCACUAACACACCUUUUUAUGUUUUGCAUUUGAAAUGCCUGAUAAAGUUGACACCUCAGCGGUUACGGGAGUUUCUGUAUAUUUACAUACGUGCAGUUGCAUUUUCAAUUUCAGGAAUUCACCUAAAGCGACAUACUGAAAACUACUAUAAAUACGCAUUCGUCCACCUGACCCGAUUGAAUUUCUGGAAUACAAAUCAUCAACCGGUUACUAAGGAGAAGUAUGAAUGAGGAAAAACUUGAUUUGAAAAGCUGUUUGGAUCUUAACACAUACGACCAGAAAACAUAGAACCCGUUAAUUCGUCUCCUCGGAGACAAAACUUGUUCAAAGGCAUAUAUAUAUAUACAUAUAUAUCACUGUUCAAGAAAAAAAAA